UCCACUGAUGAUGAAGAAAAAAAUGAUGCGCCAAGCAAAAAAAAACGUGGUAGGCCGCGGGCCACUCCGAAUGAAGAUAUAAAAAACAUUUUGUCUGUGAAGGUUUAGAAAGUAAUUAUGAGUGCGAGAAGACAAACACAACUAUUUAUAACGGAUAAUUACGACUUCAUAAAUGUUAUAAAAGAUAUCAUGUCACUGCAAAAUAUUGAAUCGAAAAAGUACUGUUAGCACUUUCACGCAGCUUAAAUUUGUAUGUUUAUUUCAAUGAUAUAGCGUGUUUUUAAAUUAUCAGAACACCCUUUCAUAAUACUUUUAUCUAAACUGCUUGUUUAUUUGGAAAAGUCAAUUGUGAAUAUGUUAGAAUUAGACAACAAUGCUAAUUUGUCAUAAUAAUUUGUAUACAUCCGUAUUUAUUUCAGCUAUAUUAUGACAUACUGAUUAGAAAAACAUUGUUAGACUAUAAUAAGAUAUUUAUUGAUUAUUGAAUUUUUGAUUCAGUUUGAAUUGUAGAUGCUGUCAGAGAGCAAAGAUGAGUUUUCAGUUUUUUGGAUAUUGAAACUAUAAUAAUGUUAAAUGCACAUUGAAUUAAUAAAAAUGUCAUCUCAUAACUCAGUGUUAUGGCCCUUGAUUAGUAAUGUAGUAUGCAUAUAGAGUAAAAAUCGUUUCCGCACUACUUCUCUGCAACUACUGGCUGGAAUUUAACGAAACUUUAUUUUCAAGACCCAAAAAACGGGGAAGGCCGCGGGCCACGGAAGAUUUUAAAAACUUUACCAAUGCUGAAAUUAAACGUUUUAUUAUGGUUACAAUGUUUAUAUUACAUUUAAAACAACCAAUGAAAUUGAAAAAGAACAGAUAAAACAACCCAAAGCCAAAAACGACACUUAAAAGCUGAGAUAUAUUGAUAGUAGCAAUAAAUGCGACAAAAAUUAUAGAGGAACUGACAGUGACAAUUUUCCUCUUAGCCACUUAAUUCAAAAGAGAAAAUUGUUUGACAUGGAUGCCUCUGAUAGCAAUAGUGGUUUAGAUAAAACAUACAUACCUUCCUCAAAAGCUCAUAAUUUAACUGAUUCCGAAUAUUCGUCCGAUGCACAAGAAACCACAAAGAAAGACCGGAAACAAAAGAAGAAAUUCGAACGUGUGGUGGAAAAGCACUUAAAAAACAAACAGCGUACUAAAUUUCCUAAGCAACAAGAAGAGAUGGUAUAUAAAAAGAGCUCAUCAACAUCUGUUGACUUUGAAACGGACAAAGCAAAUAGUGCAGCAACAAUUUCAACAAUAAAUGAAAGUAUAAAAGAAACACUCACACGCAAUGCUAGGUUUAGAACAGAGGAAACUAUAAUAGACGCGCUACUCACCAAAAAGCUUUUACGAGAGUCAAAGUACAAGGAUAUGGUAACUGCUCAUUUGAAGCUCAAUUAAAUCAUCUGGGUCAAGUAACUCCGCCCAGGAGCUUAGGCAGUCAAUAUGCUUACAUCUGGAGCAAAACUAGUAUGCAUGUUUUUAUGAAACAAACACAGACCUUAUGAUGGUGAAGCCUUUUGGAAUGAGUAUCUAAAUGAGGUUGAAAAUUUAAAACGCGAAAGAGUUGCUGAUUUUCUAUCACGUGCUUUGGCCAAUCUUGAGAGGAAAUGUGUGAUGAUAUUUACAAACAAAGGUACAACCAACUCUUUUAGCAAGUGAAACAAAUGAAAUCAUAAACCUGGCAUAUACAUCUAUUCUAACAAUUAUUGAACAUUAUGAUGCAUGUAUCAUCAAGGACAUUGCUGACACGCAGAGAACACCUGGGACACUUCUGAGAAUUCAGGGGAAGAACAGAAUGACGAAACACUGUAUGCAAGGCAUGUACCACUUACGUAUAUCUCUACCACACCGCGAAAAUCUGCAACUUAUAAUAGUCCUGUAAAAAGCGUUUAGUAAGGAAACGAAAAGAUAACCCAGAAAAUUGGAAGCAUAGUGUGCCUUAGAUUAAAAAGUAAAUGUAGUUUAAAGGAAUUGAAAUGUAAGAAUAAUGCAAUAAUACUACUGUAAACGAAAUAACUAUGACCAUCCAGUAACAGUGUAUGCUUAAUCAGUAAGUUUUAUCACCUCUGUAGCAACCUUUCUGAUACCAUCCUUCACACACAUAAAGAAAUGUUAUGCUUUGUUUGGUCAAUAUAAAAAUUUGGAAACAAAGCGAUAACUCCUGUUUAAUUUGGUUUAACGCCGCCUUUCCUUGUCGAUCUUGUUUAUCAUAAUUAACGGCCUACCAACACAGUACAAGACAUAACUCGUGCAAUACACCCGGGCUAAUGCAUUGUACAAUGACAGUUUCCCAUUAUUUUAUGCUCAAUUUUAAUCACAUGAAAACUAAAAACUUUAUUAGAUAUAUGUAUCAGAUUCUCAGUUUAUGUUCAUCGUAUAGUUAAUAUUAAUGAUAACUACACAAUGUUAGAAAUUACUGAUACCUACAUAUUGUUAUAACUGCAUUACUACUUGCUUUAUACUGUUAUUAAAAUAUUUAAUUUGGUUGGGUUUUACGGCGGACAAACACAGUAUAGGUCAUAUGGUGACUUUCCAGAUUUACUGUUGGCGACAGACAUAAGAUACCUUUUGAUACCUUAAGUCAGGCAAAUGUUUUACACACAAGUGUAUCAGAAAAACAGAAACGUAAACAGCCGAUAUUAACUAUUUAUUUGUAAAUACGGUUUAAAAAAUGAAGUAAUCAGAUAAAAUGCAAAAUAGAGAGUAAAUGAAACCCUCUUAAUUCUUCUUUGUGGAAAAUAUAUAAGCGAAUAAGAUGAUACUCCUUUGGAUAAUUUAUAGAUAAUAUAUAAAUUAUGAACAAGGCAAGUAUUGUUUUUAAUAUUAUGCAUUUACGGUCAUUACGAACUUUCCGGCGCCAAAUCUUCAGAAUUUUUUAUCACUGCCAGUGUACUAUUCAUUUACAAAUUGAGACUGACCCAAGUAGAAAACAAGGAUGCUACAGACCAAAUUUUAGUUAAAUCUGCCCAGCAGUUUCAGAGAAGAAGAUGAUUGUUGACGCAUGACGACGGACGACGGACGCCGGAGUAUCCCCCUUUGUUACUAAUAGCUCACCCUGAGCCUUCGGCUCUGGUGAGCUGAAAAAAAAGACAAUUUAAGUUCUUAAUUGCAAAUAUAGAAACUUAGGAAUGUAAUGUUCAAAGACAUUUUACACGUGAAAAGAUUCACUCCGAGAGAGACAUAGAUCCGACAUGAGAACACAUUAGUCAAAAUAUGUCGACCCUUCGUGUUUUCGCAUUUUCGCAUUUUGAGGCGAAGACGCGAAAAUAUUUGGAUGGCGUUAAUCAGCCACCAUACAUAAUCCAUUCAAGGCGAAUUUCUCAAGCAUGUCGAAAGGAUGUCCGGAAAUGUAUUAAUAUAAAACGCUGAUAUUUCGUGUGUUGAUAAAAAUACUGUUUAGAUUCUAUAUGGUUUUGAAAAAAAAACUGUUUCUAUGUAACUUUUCACGGAAAUGGGCUGUACAAUGAUUGCGUAAAAACAAUAAAAUGUCGGCUGUAGUAAUCGAAAGGCAUUUUGUCACGUGACUUUUGCCCAUGCUACCGAAAACUACCCAUCACAAUAUCACGGCGUUGAGACGCCGUGAAAUAAAGAUAUAGUUUGUCGAUGACAGAUUAACAGAGUUUGGUUUUACGGCGCACAAACACAAUAAAGGUCAUAUGGUACGAAUAAAAAGAUGAUUUGUCUACUCUCGGGUGUUAAAAUCGUACCUCCACACAAGGGGGUUCAGACUUCAGUAAAUUGACCACAUUAAGUCGCCUCUGGCGAUAACGCACGUUAAAAAAAAGAUGGAUGGAAUACUUAUACCUCAACCUGCUUGCACAGAGCUAAACAUCGGUUUGGUGUGUGCGUCCGUCCGUCCUGUUAUGCUUGUCCGGGAUAUAACUUUACUAUAAUUAAAUGUUGAAUUCUAGCUAAGCCGGUGCUAGGGGCGUGGACGCUACAUUGCACUUUCCAGUACCGUCCAUGAACUGGCUGAAUCAAACCGAGCCUGCAACAGUAUCAAUUUUGUUUAUUACUAUCUAUUUUGUCAUUAGAAGGCAGAAAUUAAAAACAAUUGUAACUUAAUAUGUUCACAAUAUUUGUGUUUGUUUGCAUUUUACGGCACGUCAACACAUAAAUGGCCCUAUCGUGCCGAAUGCUAAAAUAGGCUUUAACUAUAAUGUAAAACGUUGUAAAUAAAAAAAGCUAAUAAGAUCUUUGAAUAAUAAUGAGAAGGCGUGUCAUUCGAAAGAACCGUGUUGCUAAGUAAAAAAUAUGAUAAACAAGAUCAACAAAGAAAGGCGGCGUUCAAUGAACGCAACCCCUAUAUGACUAAGCAACAAGAACCCAUGGCAAGGAGCCCAGGCGGACCCCAAACAUUAAAAGGACAGGGCAAAGACACGUUAAUCAUUAAAUCAUACAUAAUUUGUAACUGAUUAGGAAUUCAAAGAAAGUAAUAAUAGGCCCACAAAGGGGAAGGGGUCAGGAGACCGGGGAAGAGGGGGGGGUGUUAAUGAAAGAAACAAAAACUAGAGGCGAUUGGAAAGAUACUUACCGUAGACGAGAGAAACAACAAGGGACACAAGCAAAGGUGUCACCAAAACAGUAUGAAACAACAAAGACAUACAUCUGAGGAACACAGUGGGGCGCCUUAAAGGUCGUACUUUAAGGUCAAUUUCAAAAGAUUCUCUAACAGCUUGUCUGCACCAAAAUUAUUACUAGCUCGAGGAAUUUCAAGUACCUGGAAUGGUCCACAUCAUGAGAUGGCGUGUCGCUUGCAAGAAUCGUGUGGCUAGGUCAAGGUCAUACGUAAAUGUCAAAUGCCAAAAAAUAGUCUCAUACAGCUUGUCACACAGUAUCUCGAUAACUGGCAGGUGUAGUCUGAUUUUAUUAACCUGUCCAAUAUGAAUACAUUAUAGGACUCAUUUAAAUAUUCGAUCCCACUUCGGUUUGGUCCGUGUAGUUUACAAGAAUUAAUGUGGAGUAGAUAAGUCAUGGAUUUAAAGUCACGCUAGCUUAAUGUGAAGGUUUUUGUUAAUUCACAAUAGCACAGUCGGUAAAGAGAAUGUCUGAUAAUUGAGUGGACUGUGGCUCGUUCCUUACUGUUGCCAUUGUUUUAAUACUCUUUCUUUAUUUUUAAAGUAUAUUUUAAUCGAACAGAUUUGUAGCGUAUUUUUCUGGUUUUUCGGGAUCAUUGAUACCAGCACUAUUAAGUGUUGAGAAUUGAGUACCGCUCAAGCCGGUGCUAGGCAGUAAUAAUUUGUAUGGUCAUAGCUAUAGGCAGGAAUAAUUUGUAUGGUCAUUAAAUUUUCCGGUUUGUUUGGAUUUUACGGCACGUCAACACAUAAAUGGCCAUAUCGUGCCGAAUGCUUUAAUAGGCUUUCACUAUUAUGUAAAACGUUGUAAAUAAAAAUAAAAAAAGAGCCAAACAGAUCUUUGAAUACAAUAGAUAAAUACAGAAUCCCUAAAGAAAGCCCAACACGGCAAAAUUGAAAAUGUUGCAGGCUCGGUUUGAUUGAGCCUGUUCAUGGACGGUAGACAUGGACACAGGAAAGUAUAAAAAAAAUUAACAAAGGGCAAAAACUCCAAAAUUAGGCAAAGCGGAGAUAUGUUUUUUUGCACUGCACUUCUAUUCAAUGAGAUCUAUCUAUCUAUAAAGUUUCCUGAUGAUAUCAGAGUUAAGACAAGUUUCCUGAUGAUAUCAGAGUUAAGACAAGAACCGGUUGAACCGGGUGAUGCUCCCCGAGAAGGUUCUGGACACAGGAAAGUAUAAAAAAAAUUAACAAAGGGCAAAAACUCCAAAAUUAGGCAAAGCGGAGUUAUGUUUUUUUGCACUGCACUUCUAUUCAAUGAGAUCUAUCUAUCUAUAAAGUUUCCUGAUGAUAUCAGAGUUAUGUCCCGGGUAAAAGUCAAAGUGUAAAAAUGAACAAAGGGCAAUAACUCCAAAACUAGACCAGACUUUGUUUAGGUUCUUUAAGCAUUGCAAUUCUAUCCAAUUAUAUCUAACUACCUACAAAGUUUCAUGUUGAUAUUUCUAAUAGUUUUAAAGUAUUGUCCAGGAUAAAAGUCAAAAAGUUAAAAUAAACAAAGGGCAAUUACUUCAAAAUAAGGCAAGGCAGAGUAAUGAUUCUUAAGCACUGCACUAAAAUCCACCCAAUGAGACCUAUCUAUCUACAAAGUUUCAUGUUGAUAUCUCUUAUAAUUUUAGAGUAAUGUCCCAGACAAAUUCAAAGUGUAAAAUAAACAAAGGGGGAUAAUUCAAAAAUAAGGCAAGGCAGAGUUACGGUUCUUGUGCACUGCACACCUACUCAAUGAGAUCUAUCUACCUACAAAGUUUCAUGUUGAUACCUCUUAUACUUUUAGAGUUAUGUCCCGGACAAAUUUCAAAGUGUAAAAUAAACAAAGGGGGGUAAUUCAAAAAUUAGGCAAGGCAGAGUUACGGUUCUUGUGCACUGCACACCUACUCAAUGAGAUCUAUCUACCUACAAAGUUUCAUGUUGAUACCUCUUAUACUUUUAGAGUUAUGUCCCGGACAAAGUUCAAAGUGUAAAA